GUCAGUGUGGCAUAGUGGUUUGAGUGUUGGACUAUGACUGGAGACCAGGAUUCGAUUCCCAGCUCAGACA
rnacentral:tRNA from 1 species